rnacentral:rRNA from 1 species
GUAAGGAAUAUUGGACAAUGGGGGAAACCCUGAUCCAGCCAUGCCGCGUGAGUGAAGAAGGCCUUCGGGUUGUAAAGCUCUUUCAGAUGUGAAGAUGAUGACGGUAACAUCAGAAGAAGCUCCGGCUAACUUCGUGCCAGCAGCCGCGGUAAUACGAAGGGAGCGAGCGUUGUUCGGAAUCACUGGGCGUAAAGAGUGCGUAGGCGGUUAUACAAGUCAGGAGUGAAAUCCCAGGGCUCAACCCUGGAAUUGCUUUUGAAACUGUAUAGCUAGAGUCCCGGAGGGGUUAAUGGAAUUCCGAGUGUAGAGGUGAAAUUCGCAGAUAUUCGGAGGAACACCAGUGGCGAAGGCGAUUAACUGGACGGGCACUGACGCUGAGGCACGAAAGCGUGGGGAUCAAACAGGAUUAGAAACCCGUGUAGUCC